UACGAAGGGGGCAAGCGUUGUUCGGAAUCACUGGGCGUAAAGCGUACGUAGGCGGAUAUUUAAGUCAGGGGUGAAAGCCCGAGGCUCAACCUCGGAACUGCCUUUGAUACUGGGUAUCUUGAGUCCGGGAGAGGUGAGUGGAAUGCCGAGUGUAGAGGUGAAAUUCGUAGAUAUUCGGCGGAACACCAGUGGCGAAGGCGGCUCACUGGCCCGGUACUGACGCUGAGGUACGAAAGCGUGGGGAGCAAACAGGAUUAGAUACCCUGGUAGUCCACGCCGUAAACGAUGGAUGCUAGCCGUCGGGGAGCUUGCUCUUCGGUGGCGCAGCUAACGCCUUAAGCAUCCCGCCUGGGGAGUACGGUCGCAAGAUUAAA
rnacentral:rRNA from 1 species